rnacentral:rRNA from 1 species
AUACGGAGGGUGCAAGCGUUACUCGGAAUCACUGGGCGUAAAGCGCGCGCAGGCGGGCUGAUAAGUUGGAUGUGAAAGCCUACGGCUCAACCGUAGAACUGCAUCCAAAACUGUCAGUCUAGAGUCUGGGAGGGGAAGAUGGAAUUAGUUGUGUAGGGGUAAAAUCCGUAGAGAUAACUAGGAAUACCAAAAGCGAAGGCGAUCUUCUGGAACAGUACUGACGCUGAGGCGCGAAAGCGUGGGGAGCGAACAGGAUUAGAAACCCCAGUAGUCC